UCAGAAAAGGAGGGGUUCUCUGCAGCCCAGAGAGUGGAAAGUUGUAAAUCCGAGGGGUCAGGAGAUCGUACUUAGUGGCUAAAACUCCCAAACUACCUUAAAUCCACUAACUCAACCAGAUUGUGACAUGCUCCUUUGAUGUCACUGCUUCUCGGCACAGAGGACAACAGACAGCUCUUCUGACCUCUGCAAAUACAUUUGAGAUGAUAACAUUGGCUGACAUCAGUUCCUUCCAUGAUGACUGCAGAUAUGAUUGACACUUUGAAACUCCACAGACAAGGUCUCCCUGAUUGGCCUGCAACUUACUAUGAAGACAGGCUGGCCUCAAACCCACAGAGGGGCACCUAUGCAUGCCUCCAGAACGCUGACAUCAAAGGAGUGGACCACCAUGCCUGGCUGUAAGCUUCCUUUGUGAAAGAGAAGUAGACAUGUUAAAAAAUAAAAAUGGUUCUGGUUUUUCCAUUGCA